rnacentral:pre_miRNA from 1 species
CAGAUACUCCCUCCGUCCGGAAAUACUUGUCAUUGAAAUGGAUGUAUCUAGAUGCAUUUUAGUUGUAGAUACAUUCAUUUUCAUCCAUUUUGAUGACAAGUAUUUCCGGACGGAGGGAGUAUCUA